UAUUAAAAAUUGCAUCCAUAUCUACAGUUAAAAAUUGGCGUUGCUGACAGAAUAACUAAACAAUUACAUGAGACGUGCCACAUGUGCCUCAUUUUGACAUACAAAGACCAAUUUUUAAUUAUAGAAAUGAAUGAAAUUUUUAACA
rfam:Gossypium hirsutum cultivar TM-1 chromosome 2, whole genome shotgun sequence